GCCUGGGUGGCCCAGUCGGUUAAGCGUCCGACUCUUGGUUUCAGCUCAGGUCGUGAUCUCGUGGCUUCGUGGGUUCAAGCCCCGCCUCAGGCU
rnacentral:tRNA from 1 species